rnacentral:rRNA from 1 species
GACGAACGCUGGCGGCGUGCUUAACACAUGCAAGUCGAACGGAAAGGCCCCUUUGGGGGUACUCGAGUGGCGAACGGGUGAGUAACACGUGAGUAACCUGCCCUUGACUUCGGGAUAACUUCAGGAAACUGGGGCUAAUACCGGAUAGGAAUCCUUGCUGCAUGGUGGGGGUUGGAAAGCUUCGGCGGUUUUGGAUGGACUCGCGGCUUAUCAGCUUGUUGGUGGGGUAGUGGCUUACCAAGGCUUUGACGGGUAGCCGGCCUGAGAGGGCGACCGGCCACAUUGGGACUGAGAUACGGCCCAGACUCCUACGGGAGGCAGCAGUGGGGAAGAUUGCACAAUGGGCGGAAGCCUGAUGCAGCAACGCCGCGUGCGGGAUGACGGCCUUCGGGUUGGAAACCGCUUUCAGCAGGGGCGAAGCUUGUGGUGACGGUACCUGCAGAAGAAGCACCGGCUAACUACGUG